GGUCAGUUCAGGGCCCAGUGUUAAGCAUUCAACUUUGUGGCAAAUAUUGUCGCUCAAAUUAGCAACAAAUAAAACAUGUUUUUUAAAAAAAUAAACACAAUUCCUCAGAAGAAAAUAACACCCCAAAUCCUUUUUGGGAUCACCUCUUCAGCUACCCUGGUUGGGGGCAGGCUCCGAUUGGGAUGUAGGAGAAACUGACCCAGGAAAACAAAAAUAAAGGAUGUGGACGUGGAUGGGUGAACUGGGAAGACUGAUGAACCGGAAGGAAUUGUGCUGAGAUUUAUUUUCCCACAGUGACUUGAAAGGAUAAAAAGCGGAAGAACACGGCCGCAGAGCCUGAUGGGUCUACCUGGCUACCAAGCAGAGCGGGUCAGCACGGCGGCUUUGAUUACUGGAGACACUACACAUUUCAUGAUCCUCCAAAUGCUGUGAGAGGCAGGAGAAGAAAAGUACAAGGUCUUCAGUCUUGGAGAAAAGUUCCUGACACACACUUCCAAGAUCAUCCCCAUAUAGCUGUUCGAGACCUCAAUUUAUUGAACCUAAUGGAGAUGAGCGACAGAAUGGUGAGACUGAUGAUGAUUAUGAUGUGCAGCUUCACUGAGGUCAUGGGCUUGGUUAAUUCCCUUCCAAAGGGACGGGAGGAGAGAAGGAGAGCAAGAAGGGUGAGUACAGUCAAUUCAGCCCCUCACUUUCAAGCUAACUGGGAACUGUUUAUAAUGAAUGUCCCUGCCUCCAUCAAGGGCAUUUCUUCCAUUUAACGAGCACGCAGGAAGCAGACAUUGCUCAAGUACAAGGGUUCAGUUUGCAGUGAGCCACAAAUCACAUUUCAUUUAUCAGGCCCUACAGAUGACAGGAUAUCAUCGAAUCCCUGGAGAGCCAUAUUCAUUAAAAAGAAAUCUUAAGUAAUUACAACAAUUAAUUGACUUGAAACAGUUUCUGGUGGAUAAGGUUUACAUAAUUCAUUUGCCAGACAAAACAAGCCUGAUCGAAUCUGGGAACAUGUUAUUUAGAAAUGUCCCACUAUCUGACAAGGUACCUUCGUGGAAAGGUGUUUAUCAUCGGGAUCCUUUUUUUUUUUUUUUUUUAAAGGAAAGAAUAAUUGUUGAACAAGAAAUGGGACCCUGAAAAUGUCUAACAGACUUUAUUUUGAGCCCAUAAAAUGGUGCUACAGCACCUCUUUACUUACCAUUGUGACUAAAACUGAUGAAUGAAAAUGACAAUGAGUUGUAUUAAUCAAGGACUCUCUUGAGUUUUUGAUUUUGAGGAUGAAGUUUGAGUUGGAUCCAAGACAAAGGCCUCCCAAAAAGCUAAAC
rnacentral:lncRNA from 1 species